AUUGAACGCUGGCGGCAUGCCUAACACAUGCAAGUCGAACGGCAGCACAGCAGUAGCAAUACUGUGGGUGGCGAGUGGCGGACGGGUGAGGAAUACGUCGGAAUCUGCCCAGUCGUGGGGGAUAACUAGCCGAAAGGUUAGCUAAUACCGCAUACGACCGAGAGGUGAAAGCGGGGGACCGCAAGGCCUCGCGCGAUUGGAUGAGCCGACGUCGGAUUAGCUAGUUGGCGGGGUAAAGGCCCACCAAGGCGACGAUCCGUAGCUGGUCUGAGAGGAUGAUCAGCCACACUGGAACUGAGACACGGUCCAGACUCCUACGGGAGGCAGCAGUGGGAAUAUUGGACAAUGGGCGCAAGCCUGAUCCAGCAAUGCCGCGUGUGUGAAG
rnacentral:rRNA from 1 species